CAAAGAAGACCAUAUAUUAAAUGUGUCACAUAUAGACGGUCAUGAAAACCUUUUGAUUUCGCCAGGAGACAAACAUGCUACAUACCCUCAUAAGAAUAUGAAUAUUGAGGAGGAACCCACAAACAAAGAAGAUCAUAUAUUGAAUGUGUCACAUACAGAAGGUCAUGAAAACCUUUUGAUUUCGCCAGGAGACAAACAUGGUACAUCCCUUCGUGAGGAUGUGAAUAUUGAGGAGGAACCCACAAUCAAAGAAGAUCAUAUAUUGAAUGUGUCACAUAUAGACGGUCAUAAAAACCUUUUGAUUUCGCCAGGA
rnacentral:misc_RNA from 1 species